GAUGAACGCUGGCGAGAUGCUUUACACAUGCAAGUCGUACGAGAGUUUCAAACUCAAGUGGCGGACGGGUGAGUAACACGUAAGAAUUUACCUUUAGGAGGGGGACAACAGCUGGAAACGGAUGCUAAUACCCCAUAUGCUUUCGAGUGAAAUGGAUUUUUCCGCCUAAAGAGAAGCUUGCGGCUGAUUAGCUUGUUGGUGAGGUAAUGGCUUACCAAGGCGACGAUCAGUAUCUGGUUUGAGAGGACGACCAGACACACUGGAACUGAGACACGGUCCAG
rnacentral:rRNA from 1 species